AUGAUGCCUUCAGCAACGAGUAGGGUUUAAGCGAACUGCUGCCUCCCUGCUUCCUCGAUCGACCUGCGAUUCAUUCAACCUCCAUAUCCUCCUUCGCAUUCACGCUCUCUCUCUCUCUCUCUCGCCGAACAAUAAAUGGCUUCCUUCUGCAGAUCAGCUCUAAUGGCGGGCUCAAGGUCCAUAGCUCGCUCAAGAGCCCUCAGCCAAACCUCCCUGAACUCCCUAAACCCCGCAGCCAUGGCAUCCCCGUUUGCUUCCGCCACCAGAACAAUUCCUUGCGCUACAAGAUUCGUUUCGGUGUUGGGAUGCAUGGAGUCAAUGAUGCCGCUUCACAGUGCCAUUGCUUCUGCUCGGCUUACAUCCAACAUUGCCGUCGAUUCCACCUGCUGGAGUUCCCUUUCUCUUGGUCUUGCAUCACCGUUGUGACAAGGCCCGCUGGCUAUGUGAGAGGCUGCAGUUCCUCGGUGACAAGGACUCCAUGCUCCGAUCAUUUCAGGCUUUCAAAUUGGCUUGCAUAUUGGUUCCUCCAUCCUUUGUUCUUUUCCUUUUUUCAAUGCUUUAUGGAAAUUGCUUUGUGGCUCCUCGACCGAAGCUGAGCAUGAACCCAACUUAACCAAGCAACCUUGCCCUGAUUCGGCCAAGUUGUACUGUACUGCUCCCCUUCCUUGUGUGCCCAUGGCAUAUAAAUUGCUAUUUGUUAAACGGUUUUCGUUAUCAAUUUUGUUUUUGCUUGAACUAGACAUUUUGAUUGUGAUGGUUCGCGAUGUAAUGCCUGGCCUGAAGAAUUAAUGGAACAAUAGGAAUGUUGCAUUCUCUUUGUA